GCCUGGGAUAGCUCAGUUGGUAGAGCACAGGACUUUUAAUCUCAGGGUCGUGGGUUCGAGCCCCACAUUGGGCA